ACCAGUGUUCGUGAGUCAUCAAGCGAGUUGGCCGGUCAAGUGUCCGUUGAGAGGUGGCCACCCCUCCGACACACAAUUUCAGAUAUGAUAGAUUACAAAAGAACUUAGACUGUAGUAGAACUUUAAGAAUAUUCACAAAUGAAUUUAAUAAACUUGGGCCUUUUAGCUAAAACUCUCUUGCUGAACUGUUUAUGAUAGCAUGACAAUUUAUAGUUUUUAUGCAAGUAUGUAUAUAUUUAGGCAUACAUGCCCCUGCAUAUAUUUCUAAAUGUGCAGGUUGAGUAGUGGCUGAUGAAGAUGAAGUGACGAGCUGAGCUUUUGUCAUAAGUUAGAACAUCUUGGAUGCAUGGUAAUAUCAGUAGCAUGAAAUGCACACACUUGGUCAUUAGCUAUAAUCAUCUUUGGAAACAUUUGUUCGUUGGUAGCAUGCCUAUUUUGUUGGUCUUCUCCUAACUUUAUUCUUUUUUAGUCAGAUGCAGAGUGUUGAUGAGCUAGCUUACCAGAUGUUUGACUGAUAAAAAAGGCAAAGAGAAUGGUCACAGGGGACAGAUUUGUAGUUUCUAUUUGUGAUUGUAAGGCAUGUGCUGAAGGCUCGACGACUAACUCAUUGCUAUUGGGUGUUUCACGAGUUAUAACUACUUUGAUGAUUGACUAUAUAUCUGAGAGGUAAAAGAGGGUUGAAUGAAGUAUCUUUCAGAAUCAAAUUUUAAAUUUUGAUUUGUUUCGAAUAGAAUAUUCAGAUAUCGAGUAUCUUUUCCCACCCCUAAUAGUGAUUGAGUCGGUGAUAUUAAAAGUCGAAAGAGUACUUUCGGAUUCAUAUUUUUUUAUAGAAAAUUCGCCGUUUACUUGGAAUUCAAAGAAAUAAUAUAUUAUGACUGUCAA